rnacentral:rRNA from 1 species
AGUGAACGCUGGCGGUAGGCCUAACACAUGCAAGUCGAACGGCAGCACAGUAAGAGCUUGCUCUUACGGGUGGCGAGUGGCGGACGGGUGAGGAAUACAUCGGAAUCUACUUUUUCGUGGGGGAUAACGUAGGGAAACUUACGCUAAUACCGCAUACGACCUACGGGUGAAAGCAGGGGAUCUUCGGACCUUGCGCGAUUGAAUGAGCCGAUGUCGGAUUAGCUAGUUGGCGGGGUAAAGGCCCACCAAGGCGACGAUCCGUAGCUGGUCUGAGAGUAUGAUCAGCCACACUGGAACUGAGAGACGGUCCAGACUCCUACGGGAGGCAGCAGUGGGGAAUAUUGGACAAGGGGCGCAAGCCUGAUCCAGCCAUACCGCGUGGGUGAAGAAGGGCUUCGGGUUGUAAAGCCCUAUUGUUGGGAAAGAAAAGCAGCAGGUUAAUACCCCGCUGUUCUGACGGUACCCAAAGAAUAAGCACCGGCUAACUUCGUG